AACUUGGGACCAGUACUAUAUCCGUUACUGUUGUCGUGUUGUAAGUCCAAACUUGUUUCAACUUGUUCGUUUCUUGGAAACUUUGCAAAAGAUGCGUUAAUUGACGCCUUUAAAAUCUGCGAGCGUAAGAAAGACGACGACGCAUUAUCAUAUACCCAACACUAUUGUUAAAAAUUGGAUCAGGGAUUUGUUAUCACUAUGAAGUAGAACAUAUGAGGUUUAGGUAAAAUCAACCCAAGCCCUAGUGUUUUGAUGUGUAUUGUGACUUUUCGCCCCCACCUCUUUUUCUGACAAAUGCAUUGAAUAAAUUAUUACCGCUGCUCGCAUUGUCUUCUAAUAAUUAGUCAUGCACGGGACUGAAUAGUAGUAUUUUGUCAGUAGUAAACGAACAGUGCACCACGGGCAUAUUUGGCAAGAUUUAAUUAACCUCAGGCAACACGUCGAUGGAACACGUAAAAGCACUUACAUGUUUUUAUGGAUUCAUUCAACUGUUCUUUUACCACUGGCUUACCCAUUUGGCCCAUCAUUGCAUACUCUUAGUGGCUUAGUCUUUAGUUGAUGUCAGCAGACUUGAAACUGUUGGUAGGUCAGUUAAGAUGGUACAAGUGCCUCACGACCUCCGCGGUCUGAGACAUAACUUGUAUAGGUCUAUGGACCAUAAGGAGGCCGUCUAAGUCUAGGCGGACUAGCACGACAUACAUGCCCACGCAGGGUCUCCGCGACCAAACGUGUUACGGAAAAGUAUAGGCCAGAUGUUGAAACCAGCUCGAAUGGAAGACAGCUCGUCUUGUAUAUUAAAAUUUGAAGGUGAUAUUCGGCAAAGUCGGUGUGACGCGACCUCAUAUACAUUACAGACAAAUAGGUACUCUUGUUUCUGUACGUUUGCAUUUAGAAUGAAAACAUUUAAUUAUAAUUGUUCAGUCAACAUAAGAACCAGUGACUCACAGUCCAAUAUGAUUCGGAUUUUUUUUUUUUCCGUAGGUACUUUCAUUUUUCCGGGGUGUUGUAUAACCAUUAAAAUAUUGUAUAAGCCAGACUGCAAAACAUUCUUUGAAACAAGUCAGUCGUAAUUAA